AACGAACGCUGGCGGCAGGCUUAACACAUGCAAGUCGAGCGCCCCGCAAGGGGAGCGGCAGACGGGUGAGUAACGCGUGGGAAUCUACCGUACCCUACGGAAUAGCUCCGGGAAACUGGAAUUAAUACCGUAUACGCCCUACGGGGGAAAGAUUUAUCGGGGUAUGAUGAGCCCGCGUUGGAUUAGCUAGUUGGUGGGGUAAAGGCCUACCAAGGCGACGAUCCAUAGCUGGUCUGAGAGGAUGAUCAGCCACAUUGGGACUGAGACACGGCCCAAACUCCCACGGGAGGCAGCAGUGGGGAAUAUUGGACAAUGGGCGCAAGCCUGAUCCAGCCAUGCCGCGUGAGUGAUGAAGGUCUUAGGAUUGUAAAGCUCUUUCACCGAUGAAGAUAAUGACGGUAGUCGGAGAAGAAGCCCGGCUAACUUCGUGCCAGCCGCCGCCGUAA
rnacentral:rRNA from 1 species